GAAGAGAGACGUGAUGACAGUAGUAGCGUCGAUAGCACUUUCUAGCUGCCCAGUGCUCUUCUAGGACUGGUACAUACACUGACUCAUUUUGCCUGAGUGUUGAUGAUCUUCUCAGUCUGCAGAGGAAGAGACUGUGGCACAAAGAGCUGGCCAAGAAGGUGUAUAUUUAUAUGGCUUGCAAAGCAGCCAAAGGGAACUUCAAAAGGAGCCUUCCUGUGGGGUUAGCAGUGAAUGAAUAACGGCUGGACAGACAGAGCAAAGAGAAAUACUAUGGAUUAAACUUGGUACCUUCACACUGAACCACAUCCCGCCCCUACCCUCCUUUUUUUAAGUUUUAAGACAGGGUCUCACUAAAUGCUCAGACUGGGCUGGAGCUUGAGAUUCUUCUAUCUCAGCCUCCCAGAGUGCCGGGAUUAGAGGCAUGCACUACUGCAUCCAGUUUAUAAACACUUUUACAUUUAGCUAGAUGUAGUUCUUCUUCAUCUUUAUAAAUUAAUUAUAUUUUUGUAAGAAUAUGGAAGUAAUUUAAACAUAACAUAGUUCUAAGUCUCAAACAGCUAAGACUGGACUAAAUUGGAACCUCCUCCUACCAAAUCAUAGUCCUUAGAAAAACUUAUGCAAGAGUUCAAUUUGCAACCAAAAAAUGAAUACCUCUUCACUUAUUAAAAAUUUGUAGGGCUGGGAAUUUAGCUCAGUGGUUUCAACGGCUGCUGCACAAGUGCAAGGACCUGAGUUCGAUCCCCAGUACCAAAAAAAAAAAAAGUUUUUGAAAAUAAUUUUGCAAGUCUCACCAUGGCACCAGGUGGUAAGUAAUAAAUUUUAUAUUCCUUCUGAGCGGAGGGGCUGGGGUUAAAAUGGCAGGUGUUAAAUCCCCAUCUUACCAUUUACCAGCUCUGUGACCUUGAGCAAACUACUAACCCAGUUACUUAUCUUUUAGCUAGAGAUAAUAAGGAACUAUCUGGUUAGCGGUGAGGAUUAGGUGAUCACACCUAGUGGCUGACACAUCCUCAGUCCCCAGCAUGUCAGCUGGGGGCGUCAUUCUUAUUAAAAGACCAGCAGCUUCUCUGCACUGUGACCAUUCUUGAGUGUGUACACUAUAUGUUGUGUUUUCGAUCACAAGUCUAGUAAAUAAUAUUUACUAACAAUGAUUUAUGGGAUAAGAAUAUCAAUCAUGAAAUUCGGCUCUUGUAAGUGAAAUACCAGAUGUCAGUAUCAGAGGUGCCCAAAUAAACGGAAGAAACACUGUAAGGGUUCCACAGCAAAAGUGUGAAGAACAUGAAUAUCGGGCACAUUUGGGGGGAGUCUCUUUAAUAUUAGCAGUGCUGGUUGUCUUGUAGAAGAGAAGACCAGAAUUCUGUCUUGGGAUGGUCUACAGUUCAGCAGGACCCUGAAGUAUAAAGACAUCUUUCAUUCACCAGAGCUCACAAAAUACAUUCAUCCCUAAUUUCUUACACUGACCAAGAAUAACAAUUGGCAAAAUUCACUUAUGCCUUGUUAAAAGUUGUCCCUUGAAUAAUACAGAAAAGAAAAUCAAAGAUUAAUUUGUCGGAAGCCAUGAGUCACAACUUAAGUCAACUUUAUUGCUCCCUCCUAGCCCACUGCUUUGCACACAGAAAUGAACAGAAUUAACUGGAAUGUAAAAUGAGGAAGUUGGACAAAAAAAUGUUUAAGGUUCCUUCUGAUUUUAAAUUUCAUGAAUGACAAACUGCCUAAAUAAUCAAACCAGCAUGGAGAGCUAAACACAAGAACCCACCACUGCUAAUGAAAAUGAUUGAAGCUACUUCUCCUUUCUUAAUUUCAAUUAAUAUGAGCAUGAUCAAUCCUCUGCUUUUGACUUCAGUGUUUAAUUUUAUUAUUAUAGUAUUAGGAAUAUGCCUACUCUCUAGUUUCUAGAAACAUAAGCAAACUAACAACUCUGAGAAAUACAUACAUAUAUACACUUCAGAGCUGGAGGUAUGAAAGACAUUUUUUAAAAAUAAUUCCUAAUCUUUAGUAUAUUUACGGGGCAUUAGUGUUAUUUAAUACAACAACUCUCCUGGAAAAAAGAAACCAACCUUAAAAUAAGAGUUUUCCAGGAAUAAAGGGAUGAUUGCAACAGAAAAAUACCAGAAAGGUAUAACCUUUGUAUUAUUUAGCAAUUUAAACCUUAUAAACAGACAGUGCACUUUUAAAAUCUAAUCACAGCUACAGAACUGGUGAAUAUAUUUUAGGAGAUACUGAUUACUUAUGAGAACAAAGCACAGUCGAAGUUGAAGGAUUAAAUUCCUCUUCAAUCCAGUCACUCACAUGUCUGUGUUUAAGUCACAAAGUGUUUAUGAGUCUGCUGUACAUUCUAGGCAUCAAUCCCCUUUCCAGAGAGCAAAAAAAUCCUAAUCUGACACAUUCCAAAUUGAAACAGAUUCAUCAGCAUUUUGCGUCUAUCAGAAUAGCUCCUAAAAAGCCUUUAGCAAAGGUGACUUGUAUGUGGAGAAUUAAAACACACAAAGAUUUAUAAAUCAAAAUGUAUGCUCUUUCAUUUUCUGAACCACAUGUAGGAGGAAAACUAUGAGUUAAAGAGAAAAGCCAGAGCGGACCACUGUUCCUUCACAGAAGCUAGCAAAUAAAGAAAGCAGGCACAAAACACCUGGAUUUGCUUUCCUGUUUCCUUGCCAGUGACUUUAAAAAAACAUAAGAUUAGCUAACAGUCAAAUAAGCCUCCAGAGCAAUGAAUUACACACAGACUCACAGACACUCUCACACAAGAGAGCAAAGCUAAUGCUAUUUAAAUAUCAUGAAAUAUUUUCCUAACCACGCACAGAUGGAAGUGAGAACUUUUGUGCCAAAUGCCUAGUUCAGAAACUUUGCUCUAUUUUUAAUUAUCUGGUUUAGAGGACCCGUUUGUGAUUAACUUCUGUGUUGGAUGGCAAAACAAGUAAAGUUCUUGACCCACAGCAAAGUACACAGAGAGAAGUUUAAUAAUUUUUAAACAGCCAGUGUAAUAUUGUAAAUCACAUGUAGGGACAACUAAUUUGUCAAAGACCUGUUGAUGGUCGUUGUAGCGUGAAGCUGUGAAGCGUAUCAGGAGAGUAGAAAAAUCCAAGAGGUCUUUAGUAAGUGACAUCAAAAUGAAGUUCUUAGUGACAAGCAGAUUUUAGUCACUGGGAAAUAACAAUGGAUCGAGAAAUAGAGAGGAAGAAAUUAAUAGUGCUAAGGCCUGAUCUGAGUGCAACAAGUUUCAAUUUGAGUAGGAGCUGUGAAUGGAAUAUGCCAACAGCUUUGAGCACAGGGAAUAGACUCAGCUGCAAAGAGACGUUGGUCAGGAAGCUCAAACCAUCAUAUCCAGAAUCAUACACUGGAACUGCUAAGCAGUGAAAUCCCAGAAGAGAAGUAGGAAGGGAAGAAGUGGCCUAGCGAUGACAAAAGAUGGCCAAGGUAAGAAGGAUGAAUAGGUUGAGAUGCUUUCAAAUUUGUAAGGGCUAUGAAUUUUUUUCAAGUAGUUUUUAAGUAAGAAAACAAUAAACACAAGUAUAAAUUAGUAUAAACAGAGAGGAAAUAAAAUAUAAGGCAUGCAGACAAGAACUUUGAAGAUAGAAGGUUAAAACCUAGGGGGCCUUUAUUUCUAGAGCUCUCUCUUGAUCAUCAAUUCUGCUGUGUUACAAUAGCUGUAUUUAUAGCCAGGCAUGGCGUCAUGCCCCUGUACUCCCACUUGCUUGCAAGGCUGAAACAGGAGGAUCACUUGAGCCCAGGAGUUUGAGACUAGCCAGGGGAACAUAGUUAGACCCUCCCAUUAAAAAAAUGGAUAUUCUGUAUUUUAGUCCAUAAGGGAUCUGGGGGAACCUCAGAGUGUACUGAAUCAAAAACUAUAGAGAGUAGUUCAGGAGUAAUAGUUAACGCUUCCUAUUCCCUAAUAGAUCCCUCUCUACUUUCAGAUCUCUUUUUCCCAGUCUCCAUAUAUGAAAGAAAACACCCGACACCUGUCUUCCUGUGUCUGACUUACUGUGUUUAAAAGUGGGAAUGAUCAAGGCAAGAUAUAUGCAUGGAUAGAAAUACCCAAGUGGAACCCAAGUGAAUGUGUACAAUUAACAUGGAAAUGCCCAAGUGAAUGUGUACAAUUAACAUGAGUUAAUAAAAAUAAAAAGAAAGUUGUCCUCUCAUAGGCAUAACAAUAAAGCAAGGUUCACUAAUUCAAAAAAUAGUUAAUGCUAAAAAUUAAGACUGAACUCACUGAUUCUGGACUCUGAGGCCAGGAUCAAUGCCAGAAUGAAUGGUCUGUUUGUCUGUUUGCUUGUUUGCAGUACUGAGGACUGAACCUGGGGAGCAUCACACUUUAUCUCCACCCCCUCCUUUUUUAGACA
rnacentral:lncRNA from 1 species